UGGGGAAUAUUGGACAAUGGGGGAAACCCUGAUCCAGCCAUGCCGCGUGCGUGAAGAAGGCCUUAGGGUUGUAAAGCGCUUUCGGCGGGGAAGAUGAUGACGGUACCCGCAGAAGAAGCCCCGGCUAACUCCGUGCCAGCAGCCGCGGUAAUACGGAGGGGGCUAGCGUUGUUCGGAAUUACUGGGCGUAAAGGGCGCGUAGGCGGGCGAUCAAGUCAGAGGUGAAAGGCCUGGGCUCAACCUGGGAAUUGCCUUUGAAACUGAUUGUCUAGAGUCCGGAAGAGGAUGGCGGAAUUCCCAGUGUAGAGGUGAAAUUCGUAGAUAUUGGGAAGAACACCAGUGGCGAAGGCGGCCAUCUGGUCCGGUACUGACGCUGAGGCGCGAAAGCGUGGGGAGCAAACAGGAUUAGAUACCCAAGUAGUCCCUGAGCGGGCUGGCA
rnacentral:rRNA from 1 species